rnacentral:lncRNA from 1 species
UUUAUUGUCUACUGCGGACUUCGAUUCACAGUUUCAAGCUUUGCUUUUCCGGGGCGAUUUGGUUUUUUUUGCGUUACAAAAGUAUUUUUGUGUCUAUUUUAGUUUGCGCGAUAUAAAACAUGUGUGUGUCAACUCCAAAUAUUAUUGAAGGUGGUCACAUCACUGUGGAAAGGGAUGGAAUAGCGCAAAUUUUAAGACGGCUUACGAUAUAUACUACACAAUUUCGUUUAGUAAACUUCGGUAUUUUAAGUCAAUGUAAAUUCUAUCUAACUCUGUAAAUUCUAACUCCAGACAAAGGGCGUUCGCUCGAAACGUCGAAAUUCUCCUUAUAUUUUUCAGGUAGUUGCAUCCCUGCCAACGAAAGUUUGUUAUUCAAUAUUGCCACUACCUACACGUGCAGUUCAAGAUUAAAUUCUAUACAAACAAUGCGUCAAUGUGGCGUGUUUAUUUCCAAAAAUCGAAAUCCGCGAGUAAACGGCGAGACGUGGUUUAAUUUCCUUGCUGUGUCAACAUUCGGGAAGUGAAUUGCCUAUACUAAUACCGUCUAAUGCCUAUACUAAUACCUAUAAUGAGCUAUACAAACUAAUUAAAUGUCGCUAAAGCAGUUAAGGUCACGUAGCAUGUACAACAAGAAAUGGGUGGAAACACUACAGGAAAUAUUUAAACUUUUGCAACGGAAUUUCAUGCUAGUUUUUGUGAUUAUAUUGUAAAGAAAAAAGACGAAGUAAGAUACUUUGCAUGCCGAACACCUUACUUGUGCUUCGCUCUUGGGAUAUUUAACUUUUUU